CCAGGUCCCGACUCCCGCUUAGAGCACGGUCAGGGAAGCAAGGAGAUCAAGCUCUUAAAUGAGGCGAUUGCAGAACAGGAAUGCAAGAGAUGGGGCCGUUGCUUUUGCGGAAAGGCCGUGCACUCUACACCAGUUGGAUUCCCCUCAACAAUGUUGUGCCUCCAUCUUUUGUAAUCUCACUACAGUAUAUACUUUGUUUUCCUUUCUAGUAGAAGGGAAAGGAAGGAAAGGAGACCCAGGUGAAGCACUGACUGUUCUGAAUCAGUGCCUGGAUGCAGUAAUGGACUGGAUGAGGGUGAACAAGUUGAGACUCAAUCCAGACCAGACAGAAGUACUGUUGGUCAGUGGAUCCUCUGCCCAGGUUUCUGCAUGCUGCAUCUUUCAAACAAACUCUCAAAUCUGGCAGUUUAAUACACACUGUCAUAACUUACAUUGUUUAAGCUGAGAGUCAGGAAAAAAGAAUGGACGUUUCAAACAGAAAGCACAAUUAUUCAAGAAAACAACUGUGGAAUGUAAUACCCUGCAGACUGAAGCUUUGCCCUCCACAGUCCUUCAUUCAGCACUACCCUUGAAAUAAAAUUGCAAUGUUUUUAGCCCA